UUCAAAGUGUUAAUGUGUAUUUGUUAUCAUACUGUAUGUCUAACAGCUGCAUCAUGUGGCAGCUGGUCAAAUAAAGGAAACUAAAGCCACUGUAAACUAGGGAUAUCUGUAUCAUCUGAGUGCAAAGGUUCUGACUGCAUCCACUGAUUUCAGUGAUAAAGCAUCUGUCUUCUGGGAAUGCAAAGGAAACACUCAGAGAAUCAUUUUCAGAAAGUGCCACCAGCCUGGACAUUUUUGGGAGUAUUUUUAGCUAUUGAGCAUACAGUAUGUCAUUCAACAUAUGCCAUUUGAUGAAAGCUUUUAUCCUGAGUGCCCCAUGUGUCCCAUGAGUGCGAGCAUUUUUAGAACGGCUGGACCGCAAGAAGCAAACUUCUAACCCCAGUGGUGCAACGGAUCCUAUUCCAAAUUAUUUACACUUAAAGGACAAAAUUAAAUAAUAUUAUGGAAUAUUUAAUUAGUCUAAUCAUUCUAUGUAUAUCAUUGUGGACAAUAAGAUCAGUAUAGUUUUACUAGUUACUGUACAGUACAUGGAGGACAUUGUCUUAAAUAAAGAUGUGUUUACUUUGUUUUUUUUUUUAUCAGUUUUUGUUGAUAGAUCAUUUGCAGUGGGAAUAAGCCAAAUUUUAUUGUUUGGCAUAUUUUUACAAUGAAGAAUUUUAUUUUUAUAAAGAGCUUAGUUUUGCCAUAAAUAAUUGAGGAGUGACGUAUCAAUGGUUCUGUAACGUGAUUGGCUGUGGGGCGGGAGCAAACGCGGGUGAGCGCGUGCAGGUAACACACCUGCACGCAGCAGGUGACGCGGGAUAAAACACAAUUAGACAACACGGACGUGUAGCAAAAAGUACUUUACAAAGGAGAAGCUACCGUAAGUUGUCAUCAGCUGGGCUGGUACUGUACCACAUUGGACUAAAGUUUUCUAAGAAGCCGCAGUGAUGAAUAUUAACUCUGAAUGACAAUGAAAAGGCCGCCGUGGUUGGAUUAGCAGUUCGGGCUAACUAGCUAGCUGUUUAGCAACGACACCGUCGGCUCCCAGCGAGCACGUGACAGGACGGAGCCUGGUCGCGUGUCUGGCGGAAAAACACGCUUCUCAUACAGUAACUGAACGGACCGACUCCUGCCAAAACACCGCUGCACCGGUCUUUACAGCGUGGACGAGCUGCGCUCGACGUGACAUUGACCCAUCUUACAUCUCCAUCAGUUCUUGUCCGAUGCGCUUCCAGAAGUGGGGCGUCUGCAGGCUUAGCUGACGGCUCGUCAUUCAACGUGGCUGACAGCCAAAUUAUCCCGAUCCAUCUUGCUCCUGGCAAGAGGCGACAUAGAGGACACAGCAGGACACGGGUACAGGAGGCAGGGCAUGACGGAGCAAUAGGACACCGCAGGAGUCACAGGAGGCCCGAGCUGCAUUCCAAGCUGAUUCAGAAGAGGGGCUGCAGCAGAAGAACAUAGAGCAACAGAUGCACUGAACGAAGGAGUCGAACAGCCUCAGGGAGGGAUCACUGUUUCAUCUCACAGAGACAUUUGUAAAUCCUGAAAAUGCUACAGACAAGCCCCUCCCGCUCCACAAAGGCACCUGGAACCUGUUGAAGCUCCUCCCUUUUACCUUUUAGCCCGUGUGCUGUGACCAACGCAGCUGAGAUGUUGCCUUUAACUUCACAGGAUCAACCCGACUCUCGCAGGGAACAGGAUGUGCCAUUACUAUGAACUUAUACAGCACGUCACCGUGAAGCUGUUCUCAAACCGCAAAUGCUGUGGAUGAUGGGCCUCUAAAGGCACUUCUUUUACCACAACCACUUCCCUGAAGAGCUGCAGGGGUUUGAAGGAUGCGGAGAAACGCGGCAGAGGAGAAAGUGCGCUACUGUAGGUAAUGCUUUGGACUUAGCAGCUAUCUAUUGAUUGGCUUCUAGUGGUCAUUUUAGGAGUCUGCGCCUGCAGCCAUCAUCAUCCUCAGAGUUAAUAGGCUCAGCUCCUGAAAACACCUGAUUCUCUCAUACCUUGUUUUCCUAAAAAAUUUGUAUUGCUGCUUAUGUCAGCGUUGGGUAUUUAAUGUGACAGCAGCUACAACUGUGUCCUCUCAACUACAUAAGCUAUCGUGCUCCAACACAUUCAGGAUUAUGUUUGUGUCAUAUACUGUACAGUAGCAGUGCUUGUGAGGUUGUCUCACUCAUUUCACCAAGUUAUUAAUUAAACAGUACGUUUGUUACAUCACAUGUUGGCUAAGCAGCAAUUAAGUACAUGCACGUUUGCCUUUUUUUUUCUAACCUAAUUUAGAUAAAAAAUAUACUAUUAGCUGAAUUUACAGAGAGAUUAUCUCAGGAUCCACUGUAUUAAAAUCAUUUAACUAUUUGACUAAGUGAUAAAAAUGUGUUAUUUACAUGGAGGAAAAUAUCAGCUUUAGCAUGUUUCAUACGUUCAAAUGUGUUCUCCAGUAAUUAAAAUCUAAUCUGGCACCAUGCUGCGGUGAAACCAGGAGGAAAUGAAUGAUUGAAUAAAUGAGUGAA